UUUCUUCUGAGGUGGCUGCAUGCUGCAGAGAUCGGGGUGCAGAAAAUAUUCAUUUGUGAAACAAAAACGAUUCAUAGAAAGGAGAUGUUUCUUCCAAGUCGGCUAGGUUAGCAUCUCAGAAAAGGGCUUCUUUCACACUGACCCGCUGAGCAGUGAGCAGCGCUCCUUUCGAAACCUUCGGUGAGUAUUUAUGGAAAAGAAGUUAAAAGGAAAAUGCUGAAGCUGAAGUGAAACCUCCGGAACGUUUCUGAUGAGCGAUUUUGGCGAGCUGCUCCCCUGUCCUACAAACGCCAUUUUGGAGGCACUCCUGGGAGCUCUGUGGGCACCUCCUUGUGAAGGUCUGCUCAGGAAUACCCGUAUUCUCCUUGUAGCGUGAAUGAACCACAGUUUUGCUAUAUCACAUUUCCACCCAAGAAUGAAUGAAAUGGUGUCUGACUGGGAACACCUAAUAGGCAUUACAUUAGACAUUAAAAAAAAAAAAAAAAGAGCCUAGCCAUCUCCAUAGACAGCUGUGGGAGGAAAAAGCUCCCCUUGUGCCAAAUGGGAGGAGGUUCCUUGAGCCCAGCGCUACCCGGAGCUGUGCUGGAAGCAGUGCUUGGACGGCUGCGGGCGUUCCGAGCUGUGCUGUUUUCCUUGGCCAUCUGCUUGGCUGCGUCUCUGACUUCUGGACCAGGUCCUGAGUUUUUCUGAAGUUAAUGGAAAUUUGCAUGGGCUCCGUUCUUGGAUUUGCCCUUCUCUUCUGUUGCAGGUUUGU
rnacentral:lncRNA from 7 species